GUCCACCUAUAAGGGCUACUGUUUUGUAGCAUCUCUGAAAGUCAUGGGAAAAGGGCCGUGAGACGCCCACUUCCACUACAACGAACAUAGCUGACGUUUUAUUCAACUCUAGUGGAUUAUUGAAUUCGAAGUUAGCUUCAAUUUUAAUUCCUCUUUCCGAUUUUGACGAAAGUUAUCUGCAGUCAAUUUCAAGAAAAAUGAUGCAGAUUCUCCACACGUAUAUCCCGGAGUUUGAUUAAAGAACUGUAGAUGAAGAGAAGAUUCUAUGAAGGCUUAGAACUGAUGAGUGAAAAUUUCUAAUCUUUUACAGUCUGUAUCAGCAAGUGUUCAGCAAUCUCUUGCCAGAAGCCCCUAAGAAGACCAUUGUGACGUCACCACCCUUUCAAUCAGAAAAGUUUAUGUUCUUCAGAUUUGUGCUUUCCAGUAAUUUUAUCUUUGUAUUAAGACUUCCUGGUUUCAAAACUAUUGCCAAGUCAUUGGUUUCAGAACUAGUCAGCAUGUUAUCAGAAGCAUGUAUAUAAUAUGUGAACAGGUUAUUCAAACUUAUCGGAAUAUUUUGUAUAUUACUUCCUUUUUAAUUGCUUUCAACUCAAUUUAAUAACAAAGUAUAGUAACGCUUUCAGAUCAUGAAAACUUUCAGGAAUUUUGGUCUCAGUUUGAGAACGCGAUUCAUAAUAAUCAAAAUUUGAAUAAAAUCGACACAUUCACACAUACUUAAAAAGUUUACUGAAAUCAAAAGCACAAACCGCUAUACAGGGUUUGACAUUGUCUGAGAAAAACUACGAUAUUGCAAUUAAAAUUCUUGAAGAGCGAUACGGCAAAAAAGAAAUUUUGAUUAGAACGUAUAUUAAUAAUUUAUUAAAUUUGUCGCCUGUUCGUAACACAUCUAACUUAAUAGCGCUCUGCGAAUUAUACGAUACGUGUGAAAUUCAAAUACGUAAUUUAGAAUCACUUGGCAUCGAACUUGAAAGUUACGGUAAUUUACUUUUCCCAAUUAUAACUAAACUAAUACCCGAUAGUUUAAUUUUAAAUUAUUAUCGUGAAUAUAAAAACGAAACAGAUUCAUGGAGCGUAACAAAAUUGUUAAGAGUAUUUAAAAUCCGAAAUCGAAAUAAGAGAAAGAACAUUUUCAUUUCAGAAAAAAGAAUCGAAUUCUUUUCAGGGUUAUUCUAAAAUUAGAAAUGAAAGAGAAUUUUCUAGUUUUGAAAAUAAUAAAUUCCCUAAAAUGAGAUACGAUAGGAAUGCGAGUGCUGCUACUUUAAAUGUUAUUAGUAAUGAAAAUAAAUGUGUAUUCUGUUCUAAUGAUCAUAAAAAUGAUGAAUGUAAAUUAAGCGUUGCCGAAAAGAAACAAUGUUUAUUACGUCAAGGAAGGUGUUUUAAUUGUCUAGAAAAAUUUCAUAUUGUCAGACGAUAUUUUAAGAAACCUGCUUGUACUAUUUGUCGUAAAAAACAUAAUGAAAACAUAUACUAUAAACUUUCAGAAACAAAACCCAAAGUCCCCCAAAAUGAAACUAUUGUGUCUUCUGUAGCAGAAAGUAAAAAUUCGAGCAGUAAUAUUUUACUCCAAACUGCGACGGUAUUAGCAGUAAAUAAAAACAAACAAGCUGAAAUACGUAUCUUAUUUGAUUUAGGUAGUCAAAAAUCAUUUAUCGAAUCGGAUCUUGGAAAUCAGUUAAAAUAAUAGGGAAAGAAACUAUAAAAAUAUAUCCUUUUGGUUCGAUAGAACCCCAGAAGGAAACAAUAGAUCGUGUUUUAGUAAAUUUAAGAAAUAUUCAUGAACCUGCGAAAAAAAUACAAUUAGAAGCGUUAACUACCCACGCUAUUAGCAAUGCAGUUAUUCAUCGGCCAGAGAGAGAAGUAAGAAAUUUAUGCUGCGUAAACAAUUUAACACUCGCAGAUGAAUCACUGUGGGAACGAAGUGAAAGUUCUUGUGUCAGACUACUGAUUGGCGCCGACAAUUAUUGGAAUAUUAUUUCGGGUAAUAUAUUCAGGAUUCCACAAACGUCUCUGGUUGCAAUGGAUAGUCUUUUCGGAUGGGUCUUGAGUGGUUCAUCUUAUUUAGAAAACAAAACAAAAAGUGAAAGCGAAAUAAAAAUGAUGAAAGUAGUCGUAGAUUCUUCGCGUGAAGAAAAUUCAGAUUUAAUUCUGCAAAAUUUUUGGAAAUUGGACUUAUUGGGUA
rnacentral:lncRNA from 1 species